AUGUUUUUGAAGAAGAACAGAAAACCCUCCAAGCGGAGCUCCGGCCGGGGUUCGCCCCGGCCCUCCACAGCUCGCUCUCCGGCGGGGGCCUCGGCUGCUUGUCCCGAAGCUGGCUUCGCGGCGGCGACUGGGACCCUGGCGGCGAUCAACCUAGAAAAGGAUGACAAAGUUCCUAAAAAGUUCCAGAAUUCCCUUGUUCAACUCGGACUCGGCACUAUGAAGUCUGCAAAUAUAAUUAUUGGCGGACGAGUGCUGCUUACCAGUUUACAUGGAAAACAAGAGUGACAAAAAUGUGGAUAUUAAUGAAGAGCAAUUGGCUGAUUGUCUUCUGAGAAAACUAGAUGGCAAGAUUGUUUUACCAGGCAACUUUCUAUACAUUACAUUCUAUCUACGACCAUGCAUGUUGCAAGUGUUGCGAGUGAAAGGUGCAGAUGGCAUGAUACUGAGAAGGCUUCAGAGUGACUUUGAUACUGAUGCUCAGGGAAUGGCCUCGAAACGGUCCAGCAUAGAAGCCAGUACCCUCCAUAUGUCCUUACAGUUAAGCCAGUUGGAUCUGGAAGAGCCUCAGGUCCCACCAUCAAGCAGUACUCCCUGCAAACCAGAAGAUGACAGAAAGAUAAAUAAAACUGGUGACAGUUUGUCCAAUGUCACACAGAGUCCUGGUGGCAGCAGUGGGCUUGGGCCAGAGGAAGUUACAGGUCUUGAAUGUAGCUUUGCGUCUGCCAGAGGAGGAAAUGAGUACCUUAUCAAUGAAGAGAGAUUCCUAAAGCCAGCCAAUCUGGGAGCCAAGUGCAACACUGAUACUUUCUACUUCAUUUCUUCAACAACGAGAGUCAAUUUUACAAAUAUUGGUACAAAUUCAAAAGAGCAAGACAACCAGUUCAAAGUAACUUAUGACAUGAUAGGAGGCUUAAAUGGUCAGCUGAAAGCAAUUAGAGAAAUAAUUGAACAUCCUCUCAAGCAGCUUGAACCAUCCAAGAGUUACGGAAUUCCUCCCUCUAGAGGAGUGUUACUGUAUGGCCCUCCAGGUACUGGAAAGACAAUGAUUGCCAGGGCUAUUGCUAAUGAAGUUGGAGCCUAUGUCUCUGUAAUAAAUGGUCCUGAAAUUAUAAGCAAAUUCUAUGGGGAAACUGAAGCAAGGUUUUGUCAGAUAUUUGCUGAAGCCACUCUGCGGCGUCCAUCAAUUAUUUUUAUUGAUGAGCUGGAUGCACUUUGCCCCAAAAGAGAAGGGGCUCAGAAUGAAGUGGAAAAAAGAGUUGUAGCCUCACUGCUAACACUGAUGGAUGGUAUUGGUUCAGAAGGAAGUGAAGGACAGGUAUUAGUUAUUGGGGCCACAAAUCGUCCUCAUGCUUUGGAUGCUGCACUCCGCCGACCUGGACGAUUUGGUAAAGAAAUUGAGAUUGGAGUUCCUAAUGCUCAGGACCGGCUAGAUAUACUUCAGAAACUGCUUCGAAAGGUACCGCAUGUACUCACUGACGCCGAGAUGCUACAGUUAGCAAACAAUGCACAUGGAUACGCUGGAGCAGACUUGAAAGCCUUGUGUAAUGAAUCAGGUCUCAAUGCCUUCCGGAGAGUCCUGAAGAAACAGCCUAACGUCCCUGACAGCAAGGUGGCUGCGUCGGUGAAGAUUACUCUGAAUGAUUUCUUGCAGGGAAUGAAUGACGUCAGGCCCAGUGCCAUGAGGGAGGUUGCAGUUGAUGUCCCAAGUGUAUCCCGGUCAGAUAUAGGAAGACUGGAAAAUGUCAAACUGAAAUUGAAACAGGCUGUGGAAUGGCCCUUGAAACAUCCGGAUUCUUUCACCCGAAUGGGUAUUCAGCCACCUAAAGGAGUUCUUCUGUACGGGCCACCUGGUUGCUCUAAAACGAUGAUUGCAAAGGCUUUGGCCAAUGAAAGUGGACUGAAUUUUCUAGCAAUAAAGGGGCCUGAAUUAAUGAAUAAAUAUGUUGGUGAAUCUGAAAUUGCUGUUAGAGAGAUCUUCCGCAAAGCGAGAGCGGUGGCUCCUUCCAUUAUUUUCUUUGAUGAACUGGAUGCCUUAGCAGUUGAAAGGGGCAGUUCUUCAGGUGCUGGGAAUGUAGCUGACCGUGUUUUGGCUCAGCUCCUUACAGAAAUGGAUGGCAUUGAACACUUAAAGGAUGUGACUGUUUUGGCAGCUACUAACCACCCAGAUAGGAUAGACAAGGCUUUGAUGUGUCCUGGAAGAAUCGAUAGAAUCACCUAUGUGCCUUUACCAGAUGCAGCAACAAGGAAGGAAAUAUUUAACCUGCAGUUUCACUCGAUGCCAAUCAGUCAGGAUGUUGAUCUGAAUGAACUCAUCCUCCAAACGGACACAUAUUCUGGAGCGGAGGUCUUUGCCGUCUGUGAAGAGGCCGCCCUUCUGGCGCUAGGAGAAGACAUUGAAGCCAAAUGCAUCAGGAAAAAACAUUUCACUCAAGCCUUGAGCACUGUGACACCCAGAAUUCCUGAGUCACUGAGACGUUUCUAUGAAGAUUAUCAAGAGAGGAAUGGGCCCUAA